rnacentral:rRNA from 1 species
AAUGAACGCUGGCGGCGUGCCUAACACAUGCAAGUCGAACGAUAAAACCUCCCUUCGGGGCGGAUAUAAAGUGGCGCACGGGUGAGUAACACGUAGGUAAUGUACCUUUGGGUGGGGGAUAACUUAGGGAAACUUAAGCUAAUACCGCAUAAUGCCUCGGGCCCUUCGGUGGGCCGUUGUUAAAUAUUUAUCGUCUAAAUGGCAGCCUGUCCCAGAUUAGCGAGUUGGUAAGGGAACGGUCUACCAAGGCUACGAUCUGUAGCUGAGCGGAGAGGGAGAUCGGCCACACGGGGAAUGAGCACCGGGCCAGAAUCCUAGGGGAGGCAGCAGUGGGGAAUUUUGGGCAAUGGGCGAAAGCCUGACCCAGCAACGCCGCGUGAGGGAUGAAGGCGUUCGGGAUGUAAACUUCGUUAGAACGGGAAGAAAAUGAGAGGAUAGGGUUAAUAAGCUCCGGCUAACUACGUG